AGGGAGUCUAGAUACGUGAAAAAUUAUAAAAUUUUAAUUUCUCACCACUUGCUCUCCCAACAUGAAAAGUGAACUCUGAUGACUCUUGCAAGAGAAAGUUAAAUGCUUGAGACAGAUACGGUUCAGACACAC